rnacentral:lncRNA from 1 species
UGCAGGGAAACAUCCUCUACUCCGACAGGCCACCCGGUUGAGAAGGUCACGGGGCCACAGAAGGGCUCCCCAUAAACAUCUGAGAGGGAUGAGCACCAUCUUAGUGCGCCACUCCUCGCCCUGGCCUCCUGGCCCCCUGGCCUCCUGUCUGCGCUGUACAGCAUUGGAAGAAUUUCCCAGAAUUUCAAGGAAUGAAAAUGUGAACAUUGGAAAUGGCCUGGCUUUUUAUCUCUGCCUGGGGAGAGAUCAUUUCAGGCUGCCAAGUUCACACUGAGCUAUCUGAGAGGAUUUUUUUUGCAGAAGAGAAUAACGGGAACCCAAGACUGGGGCACUAGGGGAUAAAUGGAAGGCAUGAACUUGUGUAAAACCUUUGAGCACGAAGGACUCUAUUCUGGGGACUAAAGCUUCAUCCUGUUUUGUUUUGUUUUUUCCUGAAACAGAAACUGCGUUGAACUAUUGAACUGGGCAAAAGCAUAUGACUGAACACAGGACUGCUGCACCCACAUUCUUGAUAAAAAUUGGACACUCUGCAAAAAAUAUUUUCCUAGUAACUGUCACAAUGUACUCAGAUAAUUUUGUACAUUGUAAAAUGUAAUUAUGUCUUCCAGUCAGAAUUUUUGGAAGACAACCGGUGCAAAUUUCUGGAGACUUCUGCAGUUUGCUAAUAAAGACCCUGGGUGUUUACUGCUCCUCA